rnacentral:rRNA from 1 species
AGGACGAACGCUGGCGGCGUGCUUAACACAUGCAAGUCGAGCGGUAAGGCCUUUCGGGGUACACGAGCGGCGAACGGGUGAGUAACACGUGGGUGAUCUGCCCUGCACUUCGGGAUAAGCCUGGGAAACUGGGUCUAAUACCGGAUAUGACCUCCUAUCGCAUGGUGGGUGGUGGAAAGAUUUAUCGGUGCAGGAUGGGCCCGCGGCCUAUCAGCUUGUUGGUGGGGUAAUGGCCUACCAAGGCGACGACGGGUAGCCGACCUGAGAGGGUGACCGGCCACGACUGGGACUGAGACACGGCCCAGACUCCUACGGGAGGCAGCAGUGGGAAUAUUGCACAAUGGGCAAAGCCUGAUGCAGCGACGCCGCGUGAGGAUGGCGGCCUUCGGGUUGUAAACCUCUUUCAGCAGGACGAAGCGCAAGUGACGUACUGCAGAAGAAGCACCGGCUAACUACGUGCUAGCAGCCGC